rnacentral:lncRNA from 1 species
GGGUCGCAAUCCUAACGCCUGGUAAAUCUGGCCCAAGGCCUGGGGUCGCAAUCCUAACGCCUGGUUCUACUUGGCCUUUUCCUUGUGUCACCAGCCUAACUCCAACCUCAAGACUGGACUUUGCCUUACAUCUCCAGCCUCACGCCAGCUUCAAGCCUGGCAUCGCUAGGUUCUCUCAUUCACUGCUCCUACGCAAAAUUUUGACUUGUAGGUCUCUUUUUUCUUCUUCUUUCAUCUCCAAUUCACAUACACAUAAAAUGGACUCUACUACAUACAAAUAAGGUGUACUUUAUCGUUAAAACGUAUAAAAAUGCAAGUUGAAUAAUGUAGUAAACUAUGAAAUAUAGCUACAUAUCAAUAUCUCACACUUAAACGUUGCUCGUCCUCGAGCAAUGAAAUUAUACUUAUAGACAUAACCUAUUAAGGAAUUCCAUUAACUCAUUAUAUCAAGAAUCUUUAAAAUAGUUUAAGUACAAAGGUGUGACAUCCUCGCAUCAAGAAUCAACUCACAAAUAUCAUGCCUUAUUCCCAAUUCACUUAAUUACUCUAACAUAGAAGUCAACAACAUUACCUUUCCUUUAUGAAUCAUGUACCUUCACCCAAUCAAAGAGCUUAGUCCCACACACAAUGAAUUUUAAUAACGUAGGAACUCAAGGUAGGAAAAAAACCACUCUCUCUCUCUCUCAGAAACAAUCUUCAUUUGCCCUACAUGAUGCACCAUAAGCUUGCCCGUAGUGUAAUACAAAUCGAGUUCAUUCAGUAUAAGAACAAAUAGGACUUUCAUUGGUUGUAAUGUAGGCUCCGAGUCGGGAAUGGUACAUUUGAAUCUAAGUGACUACACCUCCCUUAAGAACUUUAAUACAAACACUUUAACCUUCAAGCCCAUACUUAUGCUAAACCAAAACUUCACCUUAACUUCACUAUUUUUACCCCUACUUCUUUAAGCACCAGUACAUCAAAAGCCACCACCAUCAGGAAUUAUUUUUCAUACACUACAACUAUUAUAUUUAUUUAGUUUUUCUUCCUUUUUUCUUUUUUUUUUUCUAUCCAAAUGGAUUUUGUUGGCACAUUUUUUUUCUUUCAAAUGGUGCACCUUUAUCCUUAUUUCACUUGUUCCACUCAAAAGCCAACCCACUACCUCACACUUUAACUUUUUCAUAAUUCAUUACAAUUAAAACGCUCAUGAGAGGUGACAUGGUUCAAAUAUAUGGUCGAUUCAAAUAAAGGAAUACGACUUGUAGUACGGUUACCAAAAAAACAAGAUUAUAGGCUCACAGAGGUUAACUACGAUACAUAAAAUUUAGGUGAGUACUCUAUAUAUAUCUAGCUUAACAAAGAAUUUUCUAUAUCACUUCUCAGACUGAACAAGACUACUAUUUCUCUUUGCACAUACACGGGGCAAGUUCUAAACAUUAAAUGCAAUGCACAUAAUACAUUCAAACCUCACAUAGACAUGAAGACAAAUUAAGUCUUCAAAACUCGAACUGGACCUCGCCCCAGGGUUGCUAGCCUGACGCCUGAAAAACCUGGCCCCAGGCCUGGAAUCACAGUCCUAACGUCUGGUUAUAACUUCAGUAAUUGAGGGGGAGAAUUAUCAAAAAAAAGUGUAGUAAUUAUAAGGUAGGGAAGAGACGGCUUCAGAGGAUGAUAACUUUAAUAAUUGAGAUGAUAUAAGAAAAACAAUUAAGAGAGAAGUGGUAUUUAUAAGAUGAGCUAGACAAGUAUUAUACUCACAAAAGUGAUCCCACUAAAUUCAAGUUAUAGCAAUACACAUGCCAACUUUUAUUUACUUUUAAUGAUUUCAAAUGGAGGAGAAAGAAGUAUACAGACAUUAUUCUAAACUCAAUCACUAAAAUAGCAAGUAGAUGUUCUUAGCCCAAAAAAUGAACAUGGAGACCAAUUAAUUUAUUUACUUUUAAUGAUUUCAAAUGGAGCACUAAAUUCAAGUUAUAGCAAUACACAUGCCAACUUUUAUUUACUUUUAAUGAUUUCAAAUGGAGGAGAAAGAAGUAUACAGACAUUAUUCUAAACUCAAUCACUAAAAUAGCAAGUAGAUGUUUUUAGCCCAAAAAAUGAACAGGGAGACCAAUUAAUGAGUUGACUCUAAGUCAUAUGAACUUAAUAUUUUGGUCGUAUUCAAUUGUUGCGCACAAUAGGAAACUACCUUUUCUCUAUAUGUUUGAAACUUUUGAGCUGAUUGUAUUCUUCUCCGCCAUAUGUGAUUCCUAUAUUCGAGAACAACAAAUUAGCAGACAAAUUGUUACAAUUGGAACGUCAAUUAUAAAGAAAUAACAAGUAAAUAGUGAAUCCAAUAUAAACCGAAGUGCUAACGUAAUCAUUCGCGGCAUUAUCUCUUCCUAGAUCUUUUUGCUAUGUUAAAUAACAAUCUUAUCUCCAAAAAUAAAUAUUCUGUAUUUUUUUCAAAAAUCAUGUACUUGAAUUACAGCUUGUUGUAAUACCCAAUGUCGCAGCAUGUUAUUCUUUUGCAUAACUUAUUGUUCAACUAUAA